GGAGCAUUAGUCGAGCGGUUAAGACGCCUGCCUGUCACGCAGGAAAUCACGGGUUCGAACCCCGUAUGCUUCGCCA
rnacentral:tRNA from 1 species